AAGAGUGAUGAUACGAAAGUAUCAAACCUCCCACCCUAUGUUUAAUAUGACCUGUUGCUUCGGCGUGACGUCUUUUGACCGUCGACACAUUGUGUGGACGAGCGCAUGCCGAAGGUACAAACACUAUUAAUUCUGAUGUCUGAGUAUAAAUUAAAACAAAUAA
rnacentral:misc_RNA from 1 species